UCCAGCGGUGUUAUGUAAGUGUGAGUUUGUUGUGAAUAUGAUCAACUAUACAAUAGUAGUUGGCAUCAUGGUAAAAUCAAAUGUUUAAAAAAAAACAGCAGGAUGUGGCAUUUUUGUCUGCUGAUUGGAAGCACAAUCUGUAAUCUUUUACAAACUGCUAAGUUCUAUACCAUAUGAAAGCACAGUUCACUUUUGUUUUCUUGAUAUAACAUUUAUUCCCCCUCCCCCUCUCAGAUUAUGGCUGCUGUGACAGUAGCUGACGCAAGUUAUUGGUCAAAAGUCUACCAUGAUUCAUCUCAGUUGCCUGUUCCUCGAAGUGCCAGUUCCAGUGAUGAGUCUGACAAUCAUGAAAGCCAAAAUGCACGUAAUGGAAAUGAGCUUCAGGGUAUUAGUUUGGGGGAUGUUCCUUUUUGGGACCCUAGUGUCCUUGAGGAACAAUGGCAAGAUUCUCUAAGUUCUGGUGCCAGAGAUCAACUCAACAAGCCAUUCUUUAGUAAAGUGUCUCAUCUAGAGCCAGUCUACUCCUUUGACUCUGAAGCAAGAUACAAACGAGGGCGAGUUGUGUUUGCUCAAACUCCUUACAUACCUGGUGAGCCCUGUUAUCCCUUUUGGCCAGUCUACUGGCGUUUUGCCAAAAACUAGAGACCUGCUAAAACCACCAAGCCCUGGUAGCUUUUGAAAACUUCAUGCUGGUAAGACUUAAACUCUCUGCUCAAUGCUUUGUCAGUCCGAAUUUUUUGUUUUAAAAAGGAAUUCUUUCUCCCCCCAAAGGACUGACUGCAGCGUUUGUCUCCUUGGAAGCAAUUAUUGGAAUUACAAAACAGUUAAUACAAUUAUAUAAAGCCUAGUACUGUUAAAAUGCGACCCGCAUAUGGAGUUGGCUUGUGUGCUUACUUUUCAUUGCGUGUAGUGUACUCUAACAAGGGGUUGUGUGUGUAUCACUCCUGAAAGUAAAGGGGCUAGCGUGCUAACCACACAGACUACUAGGUGCCAGAAAUGCAAAAGGAGAACUUGCUGGAUAAGUACGUUGCUGCGAUUAGCUUUUGACCACACUCUCUUGAUUUGCCACAUGAUUUGAGGUGUCUAUUUAUGCACCUUGAUCCCAUCUCUGCUUUUUAAAAUUAUACUUGAUUAUUGCUGUGAGGGGACUAAAUUGUGGUUAUUUUGUCACUGUUGACAAACUUUCAGAAAUGCUGGAUUAAUCUGUUGUGAAAUGCACUAUAUAAAGUUGUGUUGUAUCGA